ACACUCCUGCGGGAGGCAGCAGUGGGGAAUAUUGGACAAUGGGCGCAAGCCUGAUCCAGCCAUGCCGCGUGAGUGAUGAAGGCCCUAGGGUUGUAAAGCUCUUUCACCGGAGAAGAUAAUGACGGUAUCCGGAGAAGAAGCCCCGGCUAACUUCGUGCCAGCAGCCGCGGUAAUACGAAGGGGGCUAGCGUUGUUCGGAAUUACUGGGCGUAAAGCGCACGUAGGCGGAUCGAUCAGUCAGGGGUGAAAUCCCAGGGCUCAACCCUGGAACUGCCUUUGAUACUGUCGAUCUGGAGUAUGGAAGAGGUGAGUGGAAUUCCGAGUGUAGAGGUGAAAUUCGUAGAUAUUCGGAGGAACACCAGUGGCGAAGGCGGCUCACUGGUCCAUUACUGACGCUGAGGUGCGAAAGCGUGGGGAGCAAACAGGAUUAGAAACCCUAGUAGUCCCA
rnacentral:rRNA from 1 species